rnacentral:rRNA from 1 species
GGAGAUAGCUGGUUCUCUCCGAAAUAGCUUUAGGGCUAGCCUCAAGUGAUGAUUAUUGGAGGUAGAGCACUGUUUGGACGAGGGGCCCCUCUCGGGUUACCGAAUUCAGACAAACUCCGAAUGCCAAUUAAUUUAACUUGGGAGUCAGAACAUGGGUGAUAAGGUCCGUGUUCGAAAGGGAAACAGCCCAGACCACCAGCUAAGGUCCCAAAAUAUAUGUUAAGUGGAAAAGGAUGUGGCGUUGCCCAGACAACUAGGAUGUUGGCUUAGAAGCAGCCAUCAUUUAAAGAGUGCGUAAUAGCUCACUAGUCGAGUGACACUGCGCCGAAAAUGUACCGGGGCUAAACAUAUUACCGAAGCUGUGGAUUGUCCUUUGGACAAUGGUAGGAGAGCGUUCUAAGGGCGUUGAAGCAUGAUCGUAAGGACAUGUGGAGCGCUUAGAAGUGAGAAUGCCGGUGUGAGUAGCGAAAGACGGGUGAGAAUCCCGUCCACCGAUUGACUAAGGUUUCCAGAGGAAGGCUCGUCCGCUCUGGGUUAGUCGGGUCCUAAGCUGAGGCCGACAGGCGUAGGCGAUGGAUAACAGGUUGAUAUUCCUGUACCACCUAUAAUCGUUUUAAUCGAUGGGGGGACGCAGUAGGAUAGGCGAAGCGUGCGAUUGGAUUGCACGUCUAAGCAGUAAGGCUGAGUAUUAGGCAAAUCCGGUACUCGUUAAGGCUGAGCUGUGAUGGGGAGAAGACAUUGUGUCUUCGAGUCGUUGAUUUCACACUGCCGAGAAAAGCCUCUAGAUAGAAAAUAGGUGCCCGUACCGCAAACCGACACAGGUAGUCAAGAUGAGAAUUCUAAGGUGAGCGAGCGAACUCUCGUUAAGGAACUCGGCAAAAUGACCCCGUAACUUCGGGAGAAGGGGUGCUCUUUAGGGUUAACGCCCAGAAGAGCCGCAGUGAAUAGGCCCAAGCGACUGUUUAUCAAAAACACAGGUCUCUGCUAAACCGUAAGGUGAUGUAUAGGGGCUGACGCCUGCCCGGUGCUGGAAGGUUAAGAGGAGUGGUUAGCUUCUGCGAAGCUACGAAUCGAAGCCCCAGUAAACGGCGGCCGUAACUAUAACGGUCCUAAGGUAGCGAAAUUCCUUGUCGGGUAAGUUCCGACCCGCACGAAAGGCGUAACGAUUUGGGCACUGUCUCAACGAGAGACUCGGUGAAAUCAUAGUACCUGUGAAGAUGCAGGUUACCCGCGACAGGACGGAAAGACCCCGUGGAGCUUUACUGUAGCCUGAUAUUGAAAUUCGGCACAGCUUGUACAGGAUAGGUAGGAGCCUUUGAAACGUGAGCGCUAGCUUACGUGGAGGCGCUGGUGGGAUACUACCCUAGCUGUGUUGGCUUUCUAACCCGCACCACUUAUCGUGGUGGGAGACAGUGUCAGGCGGGCAGUUUGACUGGGGCGGUCGCCUCCUAAAAGGUAACGGAGGCGCUCAAAGGUUCCCUCAGAAUGGUUGGAAAUCAUUCAUAGAGUGUAAAGGCAUAAGGGAGCUUGACUGCGAGACCUACAAGUCGAGCAGGGUCGAAAGACGGACUUAGUGAUCCGGUGGUUCCGCAUGGAAGGGCCAUCGCUCAACGGAUAAAAGCUACCCCGGGGAUAACAGGCUUAUCUCCCCCAAGAGUUCACAUCGACGGGGAGGUUUGGCACCUCGAUGUCGGCUCAUCGCAUCCUGGGGCUGUAGUCGGUCCCAAGGGUUGGGCUGUUCGCCCAUUAAAGCGGUACGCGAGCUGGGUUCAGAACGUCGUGAGACAGUUCGGUCCCUAUCCGUCGUGGGCGUAGGAAAUUUGAGAGGAGCUGUCCUUAGUACGAGAGGACCGGGAUGGACAUACCUCUGGUGUACCAGUUGUCGUGCCAACGGCAUAGCUGGGUAGCUAUGUGUGGACGGGAUAAGUGCUGAAAGCAUCUAAGCAUGAAGCCCCCCUCAAGAUGAGAUUUCCCAACUUCGGUUAUAAGAUCCCUCAAAGAUGAUGAGGUUAAUAGGUUCGAGGUGGAAGCAUGGUGACAUGUGGAGCUGACGAAUACUAAUCGAUCGAAGACUUAAUCAA